AACGAACGCUGGCGGCAUGCCUAACACAUGCAAGUCGAACGAAGGCUUCGGCCUUAGUGGCGCACGGGCGAGUAACGCGUGGGAAACUGCCUAUUGGUGGGGAAUAACGACGGGAAACUGUCGCUAAUACCGCAUAAGCCCUUCGGGGGAAAGAUUUAUCGCCGAUAGAUGUGCCCGCGUCCGAUUAGCUAGUUGGUGAGGUAAUGGCUCACCAAGGCGACGAUCGGUAGCUGGUCUGAGAGGAUGAUCAGCCACACUGGGACUGAGACACGGCACAGACUCCGACGGGAGGCAGCAGUGGGGAAUAUUGGCCAAUGGGCGAAAGCCUGAUCCAGCAAUGCCGCGUGAGUGAUGAAGGCCUUAGGGUUGUAAAGCUCUUUCGGGUGGGACGAUGAUGACGGUACCACCAGAAGAAGCCCCGGCUAACUUCGUGCCAGCAGCCGCCGUAA
rnacentral:rRNA from 1 species